rnacentral:rRNA from 1 species
CCUACGGGUGGCUGCAGUGGGGAAUAUUGGACAAUGGGCGAAAGCCUGAUCCAGCCAUGCCGCGUGUGUGAAGAAGGCCUUCGGGUUGUAAAACACUUUCAGUGGGGAAGAAAGCCUUGGGGCUAAUACCCUCGAGGAAGGACAUCACCCACAGAAGAAGCACCGGCUAACUCCGUGCCAGCAGCCGCGGUAAUACGGAGGGUGCGAGCGUUAAUCGGAAUUACUGGGCGUAAAGCGCGCGUAGGCGGUCUGAUAAGCCGGUUGUGAAAGCCCCGGGCUCAACCUGGGAACGGCAUCCGGAACUGUCAGGCUAGAGUGCAGGAGAGGAAGGUAGAAUUCCCGGUGUAGCGGUGAAAUGCGUAGAGAUCGGGAGGAAUACCAGUGGCGAAGGCGGCCUUCUGGACUGACACUGACGCUGAGGUGCGAAAGCGUGGGUAGCAAACAGGAUUAGAUACCCGUGUAGUC